rfam:Gossypium raimondii chromosome 9, whole genome shotgun sequence.
AUCCCAUGAUGAGGGCACAUUCUCAAUUGAUCUUUGUAUCACUCCCAUGCAUCAUAUAAUGCCUGUAAAUCGAUCUGGGCAAAGGAAGAAAUGUGAUUCCUCAACUU